ensembl:lncRNA
ACGAGAUAGACAAGAACUAAGAGUGCCCCCCCCUACCCCCAACAAACGAAGCAUGGGGACAUGGAGUCUGUGCUUCUCUGUACGGGUUUGUGUGGAAACGUGAAGGGAACUCCCAUCGGCUGGGGGAAAAGAAACAGGGGCGACACAGAAACACUUGAAGGAGAGACGCCCAGGCAGAAAUGACUGAGAGCGGUCUCAACUGGUGUGUCCAUAACCGAGUAAGAUGGAGGACAUUCGUCAAUGGCCUAUGCUCCUGUCGUAGGAGCCAAGGGUUUAAGUAAAGUAAGAGCAUUUUGCCAUCAGAGGUGGUGUUGAAUUACUGAGUUGAAUCCAAUUUAAUUCCAGUCUUAUGAUAUGAAGCUCAUUUAAGUAAUGUAAAAAUCCUCCUAGAAAAUGACAGGUUAUUUUCCAUCCUAAUGCAUGUUACUUUAUGGGUGAGGAAAAUACUCUUCUCUGUUCUUCUGCCACCUACGGGGAGACUCUUGAAUUGUUAUAAAACUUACAGCACGGAUGAGUGUUUUUAGAACGCUAUAGAACGUUCAUGUUUGUAGUUUGUUAUCACAGCUUCUCUUAGAAUUAAAAAGAAAAUCAUUGUGAUAAUUGAAUAGUCAUGAAAUGCCUUUUGUGUUGUGUUGUAGAGCUGGACUAUGUGUCUUACUGUUCCACCAAGCAUAAUGAUGUGUGAAAGUGACUGUUUUAUGGAAGCUGUGAAUGCCAUUUUGAGUACUGCAAGCUUUGACCAUGUGGGCCCCCUAGCAAUUUGAGGUUUAGCCAAU